AAGUCGUAACAAGGUCUCCGUUGGUGAACCAGCGGAGGGAUCAUUACCAGAGUGCCCUAGGCUCUCCAACCCAUUGUGAACUUACCAAACGUUCCCUCGGCGGGCUCAGCGCGCGGCGGCCUCCGGGCCUCCGGGCGUCCGCCGGGGAAAACCAAACCCUGAUUUAAUCGUAUUUCUCUGAGGGGCGAAAGCCCGAAAACAAAAUGAAUCAAAACUUUCAACAACGGAUCUCUUGGCUCUG
rnacentral:misc_RNA from 1 species